rnacentral:sRNA from 1 species
UUCCCUCGAGCAGACACGGCUCCUCCGUGGGAAAGAACUCCAAACUUUCCGUGCUAUGUUGUUUGAUAAGGCGGCAAAGAAUGAGACUGU